rnacentral:rRNA from 1 species
UACGGAGGGUGCAAGCGUUAUCCGGAUUCACUGGGUUUAAAGGGUGCGUAGGCGGGCAGGUAAGUCCGUGGUGAAAUCUCUGAGCUUAACUCAGAAACUGCCAUGGAUACUAUUUGUCUUGAAUAUUGUGGAGGUAAGCGGAAUAUGUCAUGUAGCGGUGAAAUGCUUAGAUAUGACAUAGAACACCGAUUGCGAAGGCAGCUUGCUACACAGUUAUUGACGCUGAGGCACGAAAGCGUGGGGAUCAAACAGG